rnacentral:tRNA from 1 species
AAUGACAUGCCUGAUUUAAAAGGGUUAUUUUGAUAGAAUAAAUUAUGCAUGUACUUGCAUGCUUUCAUUA